CUCCCCGCCCCCCCCCCGCAGGUCCCUGUGUGUGUGACAUGGACAGGGAGGGACAGUGGGACUGGAGCUGCCGGACACACAGGGAAUGAUACAAACCCAGCGCUGACUUCAUAGACUCGGGGUCGGACACAGACUCUUAUUAUUCUUCCUAUUGGGCAGAAUCUAACCUCCGACUUCGACCUCAGCCAUGGAGAAUGCACUCAGCAGUCAGAACCUCGGCUUCAUGCCGUACCUGGUGGCAGGGUCUCAGAUCCUGGGGAUUGCCAUUUUGGCUAUAACCGGAGCAUGGCUGGCACAAUACAGAGGCGGUUUCUCCUGGAGCGGGCCCCUUCAGUUUAAUGUUCAUCCACUGUGCAUGGUCCUGGGUAUGGUGUUCCUGUGUGGAGAAGCUCUCUUAGUGUAUCGAGUAUUCAGACAUGAGACAAAGAGAUCAACCAAAAUCUUGCAUGGAGUCUUGCACAUCAUGGCACUGGUCAUCUCACUCGUAGGGAUCAUCGCUGUAUUCCAGUACCACCAAGCCAAUGGGUAUCCAGAUAUGUACAGUUUGCAUAGCUGGUGUGGAAUAGUCACCUUCACUUUGUACAUCCUGCAGUGGAUUAUUGGAUUCAGCCUGUUCUUUAUACCCGGUGUGGCCUUCACUUACAGGAGCCAAUUUAAGCCUCUGCAUGAAUUCUUUGGCCGUGCCUUGUUCCUGAGCUCAAUCGCUACCAGUCUCCUGGGUCUCACCGAAAAAAUGUUUUCGGAAUACUCAAGUCACCCAGCAGAGGGCAUCCUGGUGAAUUCUCUAGGGGUGCUGCUGGUGGUAUUCGGGGCAGUUAUAGCCUAUAUCCUGACUCGUGAGGACUGGAGGCGCCCACCUCUCCCGGAGGAGCAGGCCCUUUCUAUGGACUUUAAGACCCUCACGGAAGGAGACAGCCCGACUGAUCAGUGAGUAGUCUCCGAUAUACUCACACUGAAGCUUUCUACUGAUGGAAACCAAUGACGCUGCUUGUGAUUGUAACUUAUGUACAACUGGGACCCUCACUCUCCCCUGUUACACACCGGGACAACCAUGAGACAAAGCAACAUUUACACAGACACAGCCCUGAAAAUACUGUUGUGCCCACACCUACCUAUACUUGCCAACCUGUGCCCACUUUUUCAUCAGUCCCUAAAAACAAAACCCUGAAGAAGUUGCACAUAAUGUUACUGUUAUUGGAAAUGGACAUUUGCUUGCCAAGGCCUCUGAUCCUAGUCUCCAGAACACAGUUUUAAAGGCCAGGAUGGAAAAAGAAAGGUAAUUCGGUAAAAGCACACUAUAAAAAAUGAUCUUUAAAGGAUAAGUAUACCUUUGAAAUUGAUGAGGGUGAUAUUCUAAGCACUUUUCCAAUGUACAUUCCAAAAUAUUAAAGGGCAUGUAAAGGCAAAAAAAUAAAAUGCCAUUUUUAAUUUCUUUAAUGAAUAUCAAGUAUAGGUAAAUCUAAAAUGAAAUGAAAAAGAAUGACAAAGAAACCUAUCUCCAAUAUACUUUAAUUAAAAAAUGUGUACCGUUUUUAUAAGAAACCUGACGGUAUUCAGUGAAAUUCUCCCUUCAUUUACUGCUGUGGAUAGGAAUUGUCAGACGGUCCCUAACUGCUCUGCAGGGAAACAAUCAUACUUAUGAACAGUUUGUUUCCCUGUAGAGCAGUCGGUGACUUUACUUCGCCUUUACAUCCCCUUUACUGUUUCCAACUCCAGCUGCAGGGACAAAGAUCAUGGAGCCAGAUUUAAACAGAUAAACUGGGAUUCUAUUUGGAGGAUUAUUUUGCUGCAGCCACUGGUUCUGCAGAGUAAGAGAAAGUUUGUAUUAAACAAUACAAAAACUAUAAAAUCCACAUUAGAUUACAUGACAACACAGGACCCAGUGCAGUCUGUAUAUUCUGAUUAUUAAUCAGUCUUGUGUAUCGGCUUAUGGCAGAUAUUAUUUGACUUUGAUCAUUUAUGACGAUCCCUAAACAGCCCAGACCACACUGAGCAUGUGCACAGUCUUGGUCUUGCAAAGAUGUAUAACAAAGUUACAAGAUGGCGACCCCCUGUGGCCAACUUUGAAAGCAUAAAUUAUUUGUUUGAUAAGGUUUGUGGUGCAGUAAGUUCAUGUUUAUGUUUAAUAUACAAAAUACAGCAUUUCUAGCCUUAUUCUAUUUUAGACUUGUUGUAACAAUACAUGUAUCCUUUAAUAUCUUAGAAUGAAAAAUAAAUAUUGAAAGUACAUUACAAAAGUGCUUAGAAUAGCCCCCUCAUCAAUUUUACAUUUACUUAUUUUAAAGGGAACAUACCUCAAAUUAUUUUCUCUUUCCCAUAUUGCACAGUGCUGGCUUUACACACUUUGGUUUAGCUUUACUAAAGGGUAAAUAUCCAUAUUUAUUGCAAGUGUAAUCCUGACCUGUCACCUGACGUAUUCAAGGGAACUCUGGUGUGUUCGGCCCAUCUGCCUUUAGUAAAUUAGGGGCCAUAUCUGCAUCCCCCCAGUCUGAACAUCAUCAUGGACCGAUCCCCAGCUUUUGUGAGUGUCCACUUUUAGGAUAUGUGCCAAUUGUGUCCAUUCAAUUAUUGUGCUAAUAAAUGUUCAACGUGC